rnacentral:tRNA from 1 species
GCGGUCUGCGCGGCUGGCUGGCCGCCGCCGACCCGUUCGAGCCGGGUCCCGGCGGCGCGGUCGCGCUGCGCUGGCUGAAC